AGAAAUCUAGUGGAGGACUCCGAUCCCUAGGGGAAGUAGGGCCACUGGACCCAAUUCUUGCAUAAUCUUGUGUGGUAUUUCCCUGCCUCUGCUGACCUUCAUUAGAGGGCUAACAGGAUGAUUGUUCCUGUGUAGAUGUUGCCUUGGUCUUUGUCUCCUGAGGAGUCACAGAAAGAAAGACACAGACAAGGACUGGGAGGUGGAACUUGGAAGUGCUGGAGAUGAGCUAGCUGUGGCUGUAUGGACAAAGGCAAGACCCUAUGGGAUGGCCGAGCAACCAGACAGAAGAACUCUUGAGACCUCAAGGAAAAUAACUGCCCGCAACUGCUCUUGACACUCUCUCCCUCUGGCCUGUUGUGUGGGAGAGAAAUAAACUUCUAUGUUAUUCAAACCACUGGAUUUAUGGGUCUUAUUGGUACAGCAGCUUGU